rnacentral:tRNA from 1 species
CAAAGGAUAGUUUAAAUAAAAAUCAUAGCUUUGGGAGUUAUAAAUAUAAGUUAGAGCCUUAUUCCUUUGA